rnacentral:rRNA from 1 species
AGGACUAACGCUGGCGGCGUGCCUAACACAUGCAAGUCGAACGAGGGGUAGCAAUACCCCUAGUGGCAGACGGGUGAGUAACACGUAGUCAACCUACCUCUUAAUGGGGGAUAACUAGCCGAAAGGUUAGCUAAUACCGCAUACGAUCGUCGAGUGGCAUCACACGACGAUGAAAGGAGCAAUCCGUUGAGAGAGGGGACUGCGUCCCAUUAGUUAGUUGGUGGGGUAAUGGCCUACCAAGACUCCGAUGGGUAGCUGGCUUGAGAGAGCGACCAGCCACACUGGAACUGAGACACGGUCCAGACUCCUACGGGAGGCAGCAGUGAGGAAUUUUCCGCAAUGGGGGAAACCCUGACGGAGCGACGCCGCGUGUGGGAAGAAGGCCUUCGGGUCGUAAACCACUGUCGAGGGGGACGAUAUUGACGGUACCCCUGGACGGAAGCCCCGGCUAACUACGCGCCAGCAGCCGC